GCUCUUUUAUGAUUAUGUGAUAGGUGGUGCAUGGCCGUUCUUAGUUCGUGGAGUGAUCUGUCUGCUUAAUUGCGUUUCAAAACAACUGAUACACAGAGUCUUGGCACAGUUCAGUUUAAUGGCGUCGAGUAUCUUUGAUUUCGACAGUAGUCCACUCGGUUCGCCAGGGUCUCUUUUGAACGCAACGGACGUGAUCGCAACCCUUUGUUGAGUGAUGUCAGCACUCUACGUCUAUCCUAGCUCGUUGAUCGCAAGUGAGAGUUGGGUGGGCAAACUCAGGGGACAGCUUCA
rnacentral:rRNA from 1 species